AUGAGUUUACACCGAAAGGACCUUCGAGAGAUAUGGAUGAUCUCACGUUACAAGAAAGUUCGCUCAUUGACAAUGGUCUAGGUUUAGGAAUUACAGUUAGAUGUGGUGUUAGCGUGUCCAGCGUUGUGGAUGGAUUGAAGACUGAUAUGACUGCAAGUGCGGAAUUUUUUGCUGGGGUGAAGGUGACAAAUCAAACAGUAUACAUCGACAAAAAAAGUAAAGCAUUUGUUAGAAUUAAGACAACA
rnacentral:lncRNA from 1 species